rnacentral:ncRNA from 1 species
AUAAAUCCCAUGAUGGGGAAAAGUAGGCUUUAGCGGCCUGCCCAGCGAGCCGGUGCUGGUGGGAGACCGGCCGGGAAGCUAGAGCUGAAGUUCUCCCCGGAGGAGCAGGCUGAAGGCCGGUAACAACCGGCUGGGUAGGCCGGGCCGGAGCUCCCGCCGUUAAAAGGGAGGGGGUAUCGGAAAGGAUGCUGCCGGGGGGCUUUCUCUCGCGCCUUUUUUCGCUGCGGCGCCAGGGGGAGCAGGAAAAAGGCGCAUGCUUCUUUUCCCGUACCCUGUAAUGAGCGGGCUGCUUGCCGCAGCCAAGUAGGGUGGUACCGCGGGUAUAACUCCUCGUCCCUGGG